rnacentral:rRNA from 1 species
UACGUAGGGGGCAAGCGUUAUCCGGAUCUACUGGGUGUAAAGGGAGCGUAGACGGCAGGGCAAGUCUGAUGUGAAAGGUCGGGGCCCAACCCCGGGACUGCAUUGGAAACUGUCCGGCUGGAGUACAGGAGAGGUAAGUGGAAUUCCUAGUGUAGCGGUGAAAUGCGUAGAUAUUAGGAGGAACACCAGUGGCGAAGGCGGCUUACUGGACUGUAACUGACGUUGAGGCUCGAAAGCGUGGGGAGCAAACAGG